rnacentral:rRNA from 1 species
CUACGUAGGAGGCAAGCGUUAUCCGGAUUUACUGGGUGUAAAGGGAGUGUAGGCGGUCUGGCAAGUCUGAUGUGAAACUCCGCAGCUCAACUGCGGAACUGCAUUGGAAACUGUCAGACUGGAGUGCAGGAGAGGAAAGUGGAAUUCCUAGUGUAGCGGUGAAAUGCGUAGAUAUUAGGAAGAACACCAGUGGCGAAGGCGGCUUUCGGGACGGUAACGGACGCUGAGGCUCGAAAGCGGGGGGAGCAAACAGGAUUAGAUACCCGGGUAGUCCACGCCGUAAACGAUGAAUACUAGGUGUCGGGUGGCAAAGCCAUUCGGUGCCGCAGCUAACGCAAUAAGUAUUCCACCUGGGGAGUACGUUCGCAAGAAUGAAACUCAAAUGAAUUGACGGGG